CGUCGAUAAAUUUUUGUACUUCGUCAUUAUAUCUUGCUAAACACUCGUAUAAUCCAAUAGUUCAACAAAAUUUACGUUAUUUAAAAAAUUCGCCUACAAGUUAUUAGAAAGAAUUGAUUUUAGAUUUGACAGUCCAGUGAUGUGGAAUGUGGGGGCGUUAAUGUAACAGGUGUCAUAGACGUGAUCGAUCGUUGAAUCGAUUGCAAUCCUGUCGCCUGUUGUUUAAUUAACAUAUGCCGGAGAGAUUGCGCCUCCUCUCGAAGCGUUAAUACUUGUGCCUUUAAAAUUGCGUUCUCGUGUUCCAGCAUCGUUGCCCUUAACGCGAUCUGCAACGUAACGAUUUCUUUUAGGAAUACACGAAUCGGUUUCUUCUCGCUCCUGGGUCGCCGUUGCGAAUUUGCGAUUCCGUUUGUGCCCAAAAAAUGACGGUUUACCACGCCACCUGUUUCGCCAACAGAAUGCAAAAAACAAAUUGCCCCGGGUGAGGAUCGAACUCACGACCUUAAGAUUAUGAGACUUACGCGCUGCCUUCUGCGCUACCGAGGCGCUUGAUACCGGAAUUUUUAAACGCUUAGAAAUUGCAUUAAUGGCGGCACACUCGUUAAGAACGGAGGUUGAAGCAAGGAACCGGGAAGCGAGAACCCCGCAGACAACGGUGAAGUUGUCAAUGGUGAUGGUGUCCGGCCAAUUGCAAUGUCUCUUGCACCAGAACUUGCUAAAACAUCCGGAUCUCCAAAGACAGGCAUACGAGGAUAGAAGAGGAUGUAAAAUACAAAAUCAUUAAAAAAAAAUAUACACCUCCAACCGUGACAAUGUGUCAUUGACACAUUGCCGUGACCAGGAUUCGAACCUGGGUUACUACGGCCACAACGUAGGGUCCUAACCACUAGACGAUCACGGCUACUGGAGUACUUGGUAACGACUCUGAAAUCAGCGGACAUCGAGGAUCGCAUCGACCAACUUGCUCACUCCUGGAACACGAUGCAACACGGAACCGAAUGAUUGUCGAAGUUACCUGGGGACGGAGCGAACAAGCUGUAGCUCCUUAAAAGAUGCAAUGCAGAGAACGCGCUGGAAACGGUACUUCCGGUGCAGAUCGUCUUCGCGUGCGCGUGGGAGGUCAUUCCUUUGAAAAUCCUCUAAAAUGCCAGAGCGCUGAUAGACCCACUAGACUCUAGUUACGAUCGGACCAUCCUCCAUCGAUGAUAAUCAGGUGCAAAGGUCAACCAGCCCUGCAGAGACGUUCGAACCGGAAAUGUUUCCCAAGCUAUCCAUAUAUUCGUCGAGACUUUUCCAUAUUUUCCAGUCCAACUUGAAGAGAAUCGAACGAAUUCUCCGACGACAUAACUGCGUUGAUUCGAUGGCUAUCAAUGUGUUUAUAUCCUGUCCGUUGAUUUCGAGAAAUUGAAGCUUCGAUUCACAGCGCAGGAAGUAAGGGUAUAUCGGCGUGCCAAGAACUUCUAAGUUGCCCGAAGCGAAGUACAACUUCCCGUCGACGGAGUGUCCCGACGUUCCGUGGAGCCUGUUGACGUUUCAGACGUCACGUGCUGGUUUGCCGCAUACCUCGCCACCAGAAGAAUUUCCAAUUCGCCGUUACGAGGGGUGUUUCCCGCCCCUUAGUGCAUGCGCAACGGCGAACAGAAGGAUUGUUCCGCCCCUGGCGCGUUAGGGGCGAGCAACCGGGUUGGGUAUCAAGUGGUCAAGGAAGGUAAAAGCCUGACCAAUCCGAGGGGAAGCGAUUGUCCACCCCCAUAUCACGACCCUAAUCUGACAACUGUUGUGAUAACAGGUCGCCCGGUUUUUCGCGUCUUGCAUGACCGAAUGACGAAGAUUGGGAUCGCUGGAAAUUGUUCUGGGGCCUUUGGAAUCCUCUUUAACGUGGAAGAGACGAAGAUUUCAAGGAAUGAUUAAUGAACCGAGUGCCGAAUAUUAUAAAGAAAUUGAUUUUUAUUCGAUAUUGUUCGACUGUACCCAGACGAUACGAUGUUCGUUUACAAUAUUUCCAUUGCGAGUUCACAUUUAUAAUUCCAUACGCAAGAACGUUCCGCCCAGUCAAACGGAAAGCUACGUGUGUCUAAUGUCUCUGGGACAAUCGGCAGCUGACACGUUCAUACCGCCCACGAAUGUUUAAUGGGUGGCUAUUGGAUUUACAGUGCAUGUUCCAUUUCGUGUGCCAAAAAGGGACGAGCAAUUCGGAGUAGAUUACCUGUUCAAAUUUAACUCCCGCCGGGGGUUCGCAUCACGGGUUAAAUAACGCCAUUUGUUAUCGUAAUAUCUA